AUUGAACGCUGGCGGCACGCUUUACACAUGCAAGUCGAACGGCAGCACGGACUUCGGUCUGGUGGUGAGUGGCGAACGGGUGAGUAAUACAUCGGAACGUACCUUAUCGUGGGGGAUAACGCAGCGAAAGCUGUGCUAAUACCGCAUACGCCCUGAGGGGGAAAGCGGGGGAUCGCAAGACCUCGCGCGAUUAGAGCGGCCGAUGCCUGAUUAGCUUGUUGGUGGGGUAAAAGCCCACCAAGGCGACGAUCAGUAGCUGGUCUGAGAGGACGAUCAGCCACACUGGGACUGAGACACGGCCCAGACUCCUACGGGAGGCAGCAGUGGGGAAUUUUGGACAAUGGGGGCAACCCUGAUCCAGCAAUGCCGCGUGAGUGAAGAAGGCCUUCGGGUUGUAAAGCUCUUUUGUCAGGGAAGAAACACCGGCUCUAACACAGUCCGGGAAUGACGGUACCUGAAGAAUAAGCACCGGCUAACUACGUGCCAGCCGCCGCGGUAA
rnacentral:rRNA from 1 species